rnacentral:misc_RNA from 1 species
UUUCCGUAGGUGAACCUGCGGAAGGACCAUUAUUGUAUAACCGAGGUGCGAGGGCUGUCGCUGACCCGAAAGGUCGUGCACGCCCGAGUGCCCUCACACACAUCCAUCUCACCCCUAUGUGCACCACCGCGUGGGUCCCCCUUUGGCUUGUUCGGAGGGGGGCUUACGUUUUCACACAAACUUUGUAUGCAGUGUAGAAUGUAUUUUUUGUUUUUGCGAUCACGCAAUCAAUACAACUUUCAACAACGGAUCUCUUGGCUCUCGCGUCGAUGAAGAACGCAGC